rnacentral:rRNA from 1 species
UACGUAGGGGGCAAGCGUUGUCCGGAAUUAUUGGGCGUAAAGAGCGCGUAGGCGGUCCGAUAAGUCGGCUGUGAAAGUCAGGGGCUCAACCCUUGAAAGCCGGCCGAUACUGUCGGACUAGAGUCCGGAAGAGGCAAGUGGAAUUCCUGGUGUAGCGGUGAAAUGCGCAGAUAUCAGGAGGAACACCGAUGGCGAAGGCAGCUCGCUGGGACGGUACUGACGCUGAGACGCGAAAGCGUGGGGAGCGAACAGG